UACGAAGGGGGCUAGCGUUGCUCGGAAUCACUGGGCGUAAAGGGUGCGUAGGCGGGUCUUUAAGUCAGGGGUGAAAGCCCAGAGCUCAACUCUGGAACUGCCUUUGAAACUGGUGAUCUUGAGUACGGGAGAGGUGAGUGGAAUUCCCAGUGUAGAGGUGAAAUUCGUAGAUAUUGGGAAGAACACCGGUGGCGAAGGCGGCUCACUGGCCCGUAACUGACGCUCAGGCGCGAUAGCGUGGGGAUCAAACAGG
rnacentral:rRNA from 1 species